GACGAACGCUGGCGGCGUGCCUAACACAUGCAAGUCGAACGGAAGGACGGUAGCUUGCUGCCAUUCCGGCAGGGGCGGAGGGGGGGGUAACAGGUGGGAACCCUGCCUGUACGACUGGGAUAACUCAGGGAAACCGGGUUAAAUACCGAAUGAAUCUUUCCCUCAGAUGAGGGAAAGGGAAAAUAUGGCCUCUCGCGAUCGCAUGCGCCGGUGCCCGCGUCGCAUUGGCUAGUGGGUGGGGUAAAGGCUCACCAAGGCGACGAGGCGGAGCGGGCCUGAGAGGCUGAUCGGCCACACUGGAACUUAGCCACGGCCCAGACUCCUACGGGAGGCAGCAGUAGGGAAUCUUCCGCAAUGGACGAAAGUCUGACGCAGCAACGCCGCGUGAGUGAUGAAGGCUUUCGGAUCGUAAAGCCCUGUUGUCGGGGAAGAACAGCUACCGGAUUAAAUGCCGCUGCCUUGACGGUACCUGAACAAAAAGCCCCGGCUAACUACGUG
rnacentral:rRNA from 1 species